CGGGACGUCAUCCUCUUCUAGUGGGUAUGCGUCAUCAUCUGUUGAUUACCAACGGUCCCAAGAAGAGGCUCAAGCUAUGGGAACCGAAUUGGAAGACAUUCAAGCUCGUCUUGAAAAUGAGACGAAGGCGAGAAAAGAUCUUAUGGCUCGUCUUGAAAUUGAGAGAAAAGCGAGAGAAGAUCUUCAA